UGGUCAAGUUAUUAAGGGUGCAGGGCGGAUGCCUUGGCACUAGGAGCCGAUGAAGGACGUGAUAAGCUGCGAUAAGCUUCGGGGAGUUGCACGUAAACUUUGAUCCGAAGAUUUCCGAAUGAGGAAACUCACUUAGAGUAAUGUCUAAGUAUCAUUAAGUAAAUACAUAGCUUAAUGAGGGGAACUCAGGGAACUGAAACAUCUAAGUACCUGAAGGAAGAGAAAGAAAUUCGAUUCCGUAAGUAGCGGCGAGCGAACGCGGAUUAGCCCAAACCAAUGAAGUUUUCUUUAUUGGGGUUGUGGACAUAUCAUAACGAAGAGGUAUCGUAAUUGAAGAGGUUUGGAAAGACCCACCACAGAAGGUAAUAGUCCUGUAUGUUAAACGAGAAGACUUUAGAUAUGAUCCAGAGUACCACGGGACACGUGAAACCCUGUGGGAAGCAGGAGGGACCACUCUCCAAGGCUAAAUACUACCUAGUGACCGAUAGCGUAUAGUACCGUGAGGGAAAGGUGAAAAGAACCCCGGGAGGGGAGGGAAAUAGAACCUGAAACCCUGCACUUACAAGCUGUGGAAGCACAUUUCUUGUGUGACCGCGUACUUUUUGUAGAACGGGCCAACGAGUUACGUUAAGUAGCAAGGUUAAGCACUUAAGGUGCGGAGCCGUAGCGAAAGCGAGUUUUAACUGAGCGUUCAGUUACUUGACGUAGACCCGAAACCGGGCGACCUACCCAUGAGCAGGAUGAAGCGAAAGUAAAAUUUCGUGGAGGUCCGAACCCACGAGCGUUGAAAAGCUCGGGGAUGACUUGUGGGUAGCGGUGAAAUUCCAAUCGAGCCCGGAGAUAGCUGGUUCUCCCCGAAAUAGCUUUAGGGCUAGCCUCAAGGUGAGAGAUACGGAGGUAGAGCACUGAAUGUCCUAGGGGGUAUUGCACCUACCGAAGACUAUCAAACUCCGAAUGCCGUCAUCUUAUAC
rnacentral:rRNA from 1 species